AGCAGCCCCCCCCCCCAAAGUGGUAGGCCUGCUCCCCAAAUCCAGCCCCCCUUGGAAGAUGUACUGUUAAAGCUAGUUAACCCAACUUUAUUAUUCUGUCUAACACCGGGCGAUCCAGUUAACCCAUUGAGUUGCAUUGCAUGUGCCCUGAUGCACCCUACUUUAUUAUUUUACUCUGUCUAACGCCAGACGAUUUUACUCGUCAAGGGGUGGGCACACUUUAACAGGCAAAGUAUUAAUUGGGAAUACUUUCUCUUUUAAUGGGAAACUCUUUAUCAAUAAAAGGAACAAUGCAAUUAUUCAUAGUAUUUAAUUUUUCAUAUAAAGCAAAGACUGUAAGAGGAAACAUGGAUCAUUGGCUACUUUUUUAUUUAGUAUUAAUUUUCAUGACAACAUGUGGGGUCAACUAUAAAGGAAACAGUUAUUGCCUAUUUUGGAAUAAAAAAUUUAGAAUAUAGCAAUAUUCAUUGACAUUGAACACAUAUUUAAUUUAUUUAGUUUUUGAAUAAUUUAAGUUCUUAAAUGUAUAUAAAUAUGAAAUAAAAU